rnacentral:rRNA from 1 species
GGAAUCUUCCACAAUGGGCGCAAGCCUGAUGGAGCAACACCGCGUGAGUGAAGAAGGGUUUCGGCUCGCAAAGCUCUGUUGUUAAAGAAGAACACGUAUGAGAGUAACUGUUCAUACGUUGACGGUAUUUAACCAGAAAGUCACGGCUAACUACGUGCCAG